UCCGGAGNUGCUGGAACUUUAGGAGGACAAGAUGAUGACCAGGAGGAUGAUGAAGAUUUUGAGGAUGCCUAGGAGGAGGAGGAGGAUGAUGACUCAGAUGAGGAUUUGCGCUGAUGACAUCUACUGAUGGAUGCCAGUAUUGACAGGGAUUUUUCUUUUUCUUUUUCUUUGUACUUUGAAUUAGUAGUAUAGGUUCCAUUUAUGUUUGAGUCUAUGUUUGGCUUGUACACUUAUUCGGAUAAUGGUUCAAAUUUAU
rnacentral:lncRNA from 1 species